rnacentral:rRNA from 1 species
GUCGAGAAUAAUUCACAAUGGACGAAAGUCUGAUGGUGCAACGCCGCGUGGAGGAUGACGGUCUUCGGAUUGUAAACUCCUGUCAUCCGGGAGUAAGACCUGGCUGUGAAUAGCAGACAGGGUUGAUAGUACCGGAAGAGGAAGGGACGGCUAACUUCGUGCCAGCAGCCGCGGUAAUACGAAGGUCCCGAGCGUUGUUCGGAAUCACUGGGCGUAAAGGGAGCGUAGGCGGCGUGGUAAGUCAGAUGUGAAAUCCAGGGGCUCAACCCCGGAACUGCAUCCGAUAAUGCCGUGGUAGAGGAUUGGAGAGGUAGCUGGAAUACUUGGUGUAGCAGUGAAAUGCGUGGAGAUCAAGAGGAACACUCGUGGCGAAAGCGAGCUACUGGACAAUAUCUGACGCUGAGGCUCGAAGGCCAGGGUAGCGAAAGGGAUUAGAUACCCUUGUAGUCC